GUCCACACCGUAAACGUUGGGCGCUAGGUGUGGGACUCAUUCCACGAGUUCCGUGCCGCAGCUAACGCAUUAAGCGCCCCGCCUGGGGAGUACGGCCGCAAGGCUAAAACUCAAAGGAAUUGACGGGGGCCCGCACAAGCGGCGGAGCAUGCGGAUUAAUUCGAUGCAACGCGAAGAACCUUACCUAGGUUUGACAUAUACGAGAACGCUCUAGAGAUAGAGCACUCUUUGGACACUCGUAUACAGGUGGUGCAUGGCUGUCGU
rnacentral:rRNA from 1 species